UUAGCAUGAAUAGUUUUCUUGGAAGGAAAGUCGAAAGAACCCGGGCAAAGUUUGUAGGAAACAAUGUCGGAAAGGAGAGUAAGAAGAUUAAAAUAUUUAAAUUACAGUCAUUUUUCCAUUGAUUUUCUGAGUAAUUUAAAGAAGGAUCCAUAUUAUAAACUAAGAUCACUAGCUGUUGGUACCAAGAAUGGCUUUAAAUUAUAUGCUUUCAACUCUGUUGAUAACUUGGAAAUUAUUCAUGAAUCCCAAGAACCUGCCGAGGACAUCCGUAUCAUUGAGAGACUCUUCUCCUCUAGUCUGGUUGCACUCGUUACUAACUGUGCUCCUCGAAAACUCAAAGUGUGCCAUUUUAAAAAGUGUUCCGAAAUAUGUAACUAUAGCUACUCAAACACCAUCUUAGCUGUUAAACUAAACAGACAGAGACUUGUAGUCUGCUUAGAAGAGAGCCUUUAUAUCCACAAUAUAAGGGACAUGAAAGUUCUGCACACAAUUAAAGACACUCCUCCUAACCCAUCUGGAUUAUGUGUCCUUUCCGUUUGUAACGAAAACAACUAUCUCGCUUAUCCUGGAAGCAGCUCAAUCGGUGAAGUACAAAUUUUUGAUGCAUUAAAUUUGCAAGCAAAAUCCAUGAUUCCAGCUCAUGACAAUCCUCUUGCUGCCAUGGCAUUUGACCCUACGGGAACUAAAUUGGCUACAGCUUCUGAAAAAGGUACUGUCAUAAGGGUCUUCAAUGUCUUAGAUGGAUCUAAACUCUAUGAAUUCCGCCGUGGCAUGAAAAGAUGUGUUAGGAUAUAUUCAUUGUCCUUCAGUGAAGAUUCUAAGUAUCUGAGUGCUUCUAGCAACACAGACACUGUUCACAUCUUUAGAUUGGAAGAGCUGAAAGACGUGAAGCCCUCUGAAGACCCCCAAAGCUGGUUGGGACUGUUUGGUAAGGCCAUCAUCAGUUCAGCCAGUUACCUUCCCACACAAGUGGCUGACAUGUUGUACCAAGAACGGUCCUUUGCAAAUGUUCACCUUCCCUUCUUUGGAGUGAGGAACAUAUGCACACUAGCAACAAUUGAGAAAAUUCAACGUGUUCUUGUGGUGUCUGGAGAAGGUAAACUAUAUAUCUAUGAUUUGGAACCAAUUGAAGGAGGAGAUUGCACUUUUGUUGUCUCUCACAACCUUAUUAAUUUGACAGAAAAGAGCGUCAUAAUGAAACCUGGUGAAUCGAGCACCGAGAAUUCCCCACCUGCUGCCCUACCAGAUUCACCGAGUGUCAGACGACCUUUUCAGCCUGGGAGUACAAGUUAUGCGGCCAUUGUGCGAGGAGGGGACACAGGUACAGCCCAAGGUGUGUAGACGCAUGGCCCGUCACAACCGUUUCUUGCAUGAGGCAUGCCUCACUCUUAAAAAACUGAUCAAGAAAGCCACAAGGAUGCCCACUAUGCUCAUUGUGCUAAAGACCUCUACGAAAACGAAUUUCCACCCAUGAAUCAUAAAAAUGAGAUGUAAACCUUUUUUUAAUCUCUGCACAACCACACACAUAUCACCUGCUGCUGCUGACUGUGGACUUUCUGGCAAACUGAUUUAAUAUACUUUAUUGUGUCUCAAGCAAUCACAAUUUGUGUCAAAAUGUAUGUAAAGUAAUAUUUAUUACACAAACCUUAAGCAAAUUGAACUAUGAAAGAAAAUUCAGCAUCUGUGA
rnacentral:misc_RNA from 1 species